rnacentral:rRNA from 1 species
UACGAAGGGGGCUAGCGUUGCUCGGAAUCACUGGGCGUAAAGGGGUGCGUAGGCGGGUCUUUAAGUCAGGGGUGAAAUCCUGGAGCUCAACUCCAGAACUACCUUUGAUACUGGCGAGCUUGAGUUCGGGAGAGGUGAGUGGAACUGCGAGUGUAGAGGUGAAAUUCGUAGAUAUUCGCAAGAACACCAGUGGCGAAGGCGGCUCACUGGCCCGAUACUGACGCUGAGGUGCGAAAGCGUGGGGAGCAAACAGGAUUAAGAAACCCUGG